rnacentral:rRNA from 1 species
GCCUACGGCCAUUACCACCCUGGCAACGCGGACCAGAUCUCGUAUUGAUCUCGGAAGCUACGCAGGGUCGGGCCCGGUAGUACUUGGAUGGGAGACCUCCUGUGAAUACCGGGGCUGUAGGCC